ensembl:ncRNA F28F9.16 ncRNA
UAGAAGUAGUGUGAGAGGAUGGCCAGGCACCUUGAUGAGUUGGCAAGAUAUGGAAGUUUUCCGCGAAAUGAAAGAGACACACACACACAGAAGAGAGCAUCCCAAUAAUGGGGCCCCCUUCUUUAGUAGCAAAAGCUCCCCGAAGAAAGGGGAGAAGAAAAAGCGGAAAACGUGCGGGGAAAGGUGCCAAAUGAAGAAGAUGCACACCUAGAGGAGCGGUGCCUCUUGCCGCAGGGCUCCA